rnacentral:rRNA from 1 species
UGAGGAAUAUUGGUCAAUGGGCGCAGGCCUGAACCAGCCAAGUCGCGUGAGGGAAGACGGUCCUACGGAUUGUAAACCUCUUUUGUCGGGGAGUAACGUGCGGGACGGGUCCCGUAUUGAGAGUACCCGAAGAAAAAGCAUCGGCUAACUCCGUGCCAGCAGCCGCGGUAAUACGGAGGAUGCGAGCGUUAUCCGGAUUUAUUGGGUUUAAAGGGUGCGCAGGCGGCGCGCCAAGUCAGCGGUCAAAGUUCCGGGCUCAACCCGGUGUCGCCGUUGAAACUGGCGUGCUCGAGUGCGUGCGAGGAAGGCGGAAUGCGUUGUGUAGCGGUGAAAUGCAUAGAUAUGACGCAGAACUCCGAUUGCGAAGGCAGCUUUCCAGCGCGCUACUGACGCUGAGGCA